rnacentral:lncRNA from 1 species
AGAGAGAAGGAAGCAUGACCACAAUUAGCUUGUGUGACAAGAUGGCAAAGUACAUCAAGCAGGUAAAAUUGGGACAGGCAGAUAAACAUGAUGAGCUAAGACCACUCCCUGAUGGCCCAUAAUCUUGCUGAGAGAGCCACGGUCCCUCUGCCUUCCAGAAAGUUCUCCACCUUGGUACCCAAGAGAAUUAUUUGCUUCUGAAGUACGUCUCUCUUGUCCUCACUUCCCAACUCUUUCAUGUGAACCUUUACAUUUGUGAAUGUCUACUUUUCUAGACUAAAACUAAAAAACUUUAUAUUGUAUCUGUAAGAAUUCACUUUAUAAAAUCAGAUA